UGGCUAUUUUUUAUGCUGGUUUGCCAAAACCUAACACAACCCUCCUCCUUUACCCGGGCUUGGGACCGGCUAUGCUGAGACGACUCAGGAGAGAGAGAGAGUCUUCCAGUCAGCAUAGGCGGAGUUAUGACUAUCACAUCUUUGUUGAACGUUUACUCCCUGUUGCAUUCCGUGGAUUUCUCUCGGAGCAUAUAUGGCAUUCUUUGGCUGAGCUCAGUUUUUUCUAUCGGCAAUUGUGUUCUAAAGAGCUUAGUAAAGAUGUUGUUCGCUCCCUAGAAUGUAAUGUUCCGGUGCUUCUUUGCAAACUAGAGAAGAUCUUUCCUCCUGGUUUUUUCAAUCCUAUGCAACAUUUAAUCAUCCAUUUACCCUAUGAGGCACAAUUAGGAGGUCCCUUCCAAGCCCGUUGGAUGUAUCCAUAUGAGAGGUUUAUCUACAAACUUAAGAAGAAAGUAAGAAAUAAGGCACGUGUUGAGGGUUGCAUUGUUGAGGCUUCUCUAGUUGAAGAGGCUACAAAUCAUCUAUCCUUAUGUUUUAAAGCUAGCGCUCGGUCAAUUAAAAACAAGAUGCCUCGUUAUGAUGAUGGUGCCUCCGCAUUUGAAACUGUAUGUGACCUUGAAGUUUUUCAGUACCCGGGUCGAUGUAUUAGCCCAAGAGGUACCCGUGAGCUCUCAAGCGAAGAGUACAAGGCUGCUCUCUUGUACAUAUUCACUAACAUACCUGAGAUGGAUGAUUUCUUUGAAUGGUGAGUAGCUUUCGACACAGCAAUGUUCAGUCAAAAAGGAACACUUCCCAUACGAACUCAUGUGAUGGUGCCUCCCAAAGGACAACAGCUGCUGGUAAUCCCUCCCAAAGGAUUAAAGAUUCAGGACCUAUGAGUUCUAUACAUGGAGAUAAGCAAAGAGGGAGGAAGCAGGGGUGCCUAACAAAGUUAAAAAUGCCAGUCCGUGGCCGAAAGGUGCUCCUCGAACCACUUGGUGACAUGCAAUUUGAAUAUCUCGAUCGUCGUGGGUCGAGCUACAAGUACACUUCUCAACUUGUGGUCAUUAUCAAGAGAGAAUACCCGGGCUUGGUGCAGGACAAGAAUGAGCAUGGUGUAGUCCUUAGGACCCGUCCGGCACUAGAGUGGGCUGAUUACUUCCUAUAGAGAAAGGAUGAUUUGGGACAAACAGCAGGCGACCGUGUGCUUUCUGAAUUUUGGCGUUUAUUUGAGGUCAAUAUAGGAAAAGAGGAAGAAGCUGACCGUGUUCUUGACACCUAUCUAAAGAAAAGGGUGAAGGACAUGAUGUACCAGGCUCGAGUUGAUGCUGUCAAGGUGUACUACAUGAAGAAGUUGAACCAGAAAAUAGAUGACAAGCUGGCACGGCCAAUAGAGCUUAAUUAUGAAGAAUAUUUGGAUGGCAAACAGAAAUGGUGUAGUAAUGCUGUAUGGCCUAAGCUUUGUCGUUAUUGGUGCUCAGAAAAUUUCCUCAAAAAACGAAAGAGAGGCCAGGAAUCUCGCUUUUCUUCAGAUGAUAUUGCUCAAAAUCAAUCAUGGAGGAUCCAGACCAUUUGGGGAGACAAGGCAAAUUCUGGGUGAAAAAUUUGGCCCUGAGUUUACAUUAAAAAUAUGGAUGAAAAUGGCCGAACUGCUCCAAUGGUUAGCCGCAAAGCACAAAAGAUUGUGGAUGACUAUGCUGCAAAGUCUACAGAAAAUUCUGGACAGCAAGAGUUGGAUGGAAAAGUAUUGUAUAAAAUUUCUGGUGGAAUGCGCCAUGGACGCGUAGCCAUUGCAAAUGGUGCUGUUAAAAAGGCUGAUGUUCUGUCUGCUGCUAAGGAAAAAUCUGUUGCAUCAUCAAAUUCAGCAUCUUAUCGAAGCAUGGCUGAAGAAAAUCGACAAUUGCAGCAAGCAAAUAGGGGCUUACAUGAGCGUGUUGACCAGUUAGGCGAACUAACCAAUGACUUGAUAUUGAAUCUUUACAGUGAUUUAGGAAAGGAAGUUCCAGCAGGCCUAAAGAGUCGCCUUGCAGCAUUAACAGCAAAUGCAAGUAUGAUAGUGACUUGAUACUUGUACAUAUUAAUCCACAGUGAAUUAUUGUGAAGGAGGUCCAGCUGUUUUCUUACAGUGACAGUAGCAUAAGCCGGAAGAAGUUUAUCCAAAUUGAAACUGUUGAGAAAUUGUUUAAGAUCAACUAUGUUACAAGAAAGAUUGAAUGGCUUGGCUAUGUGUAGCAUUGAAAAGGAUAUUUUGGAUGACACUUAAUCUGGAUACAGUUCUUGUAGAUUUUGCAUCAAGAAAUGUCCGAAGUCAGUUUUUUACAAGGAACUGAAGUAUUAUAUUUUUAUUUGAGAUGCCCUUCAUGGAGAAAUUCACUGUGUAGCUCGACUGCCCGAGUCCUCCCAGGGUUAUCCUGUCGGCUGCAGGCUCAUGUUUUUUGUUGGCGUGUGAUUGGAGCAGCUGCUCCGGUCAUGUCGUGCGGCGUUUGCCCACAAGGCUGCGGCAACAGCACGGCGGCUCCGGCUAGGACACGCCACGGCUCCGGCUGGGAUGCGCAGCGAGCGACUUGAAUUCUUGGGAAGUGGAGUAUCGGCCGAGAAAGAAAUCAAAACAACCUGGCGCAGGAACGCAAGCGAUCAAGAUGUGCAAAAUGCCUCAUAGGUUAUGUUGUUGUUUGAAAUAUGCUAGUUGAUCAUCUAU